rnacentral:rRNA from 1 species
GAUGAACGCUAGCGGCAGGCUUAAUACAUGCAAGUUGAGGGGCAGCAUGAUAUACGCGAGUAUAUUGAUGGCGACCGGCGGACGGGUGAGUAAUAGGUAGGAGACCUACCUCAUACAGGGGGAUAGCAUAGAGAAAUCUGUGGUAAUACCCCAUGAGGUUAUAUGAAUAGAGGCAUAUAAUCAAAGCAUAAGCGAUUAUGCGGUAUGAGAGGGGCCUACUGACCAUUAGCUAGUUGGUGAGGUAAGGGCUCACCAAGGCGAAGAUGGUUAGGGGUUUUGAGAGAGAGACCCCCCACAUUGGAACUGAGAGACGGUCCAGACUCCUACGGGAGGCAGCAGUAGGGAAUAUUGGGCAAUGGGCGAAAGCCUGACCCAGCCAUGCCGCGUGAAGGAAGACGGGCCUUAUGGGUUGUAAACUUCUUUAUACGCGAAUAGAGGUUAGUACGAGAUACUAAUAGGAAGGUAGUGUAGUAAAAAGCAACCGGCUAAACUCCGUGCC